rnacentral:rRNA from 1 species
AUUGAACGCUGGCGGCAGGCCUAACACAUGCAAGUCGAGCGGAUGAAGGGAGCUUGCUCCUGGCUUCAGCGGCGGACGGGUGAGUAAUGCCUAGGAAUCUGCCUGGUCGUGGGGGAUAACGUCCGGUAACGGGCGCUAAUACCGCAUACGUCCUGAGGGAGAAAGUGGGGGAUCUUCGGACCUCACGCUAUCAGAUGAGCCUAGGUCGGAUUAGCUAGUUGGUGGGGUAAAGGCUUACCAAGGCGACGAUCCGUAACUGGUCUGAGAGGAUGAUCAGUCACACUGGAACUGAGACACGGUCCAGACUCCUACGGGAGGCAGCAGUAGGGAAUAUUGGGCAAUGGGCGAAAGCCUGAUCCAGCAAUGCCGCGUGUGUGAAGAAGGUCUUCGGAUUGUAAAGCACUUUAAGUUGGGAAGAAGGGCAGUAAGUUAAUACCUUGCUGUUUUGACGUUACCAACAGAGUAAGCACCGGCUAACUUCGUG